rnacentral:rRNA from 1 species
CCCUUAGAUGUUCUGGGCCGCACGCGUGCUACACUGAACGGUUCAAUGGGUAAGGUAGUGCGAAAGCAUGACCUAAUCUCGAAAUCCGUUCGUGCUGGGGAUAGAAGCUUGCAAUUAUCCUUCUUGAACGAGGAAUACCUUGUAAGCGUGAGUCAUCAUCUCACGCUGAAUACGUCCCUGCCCUUUGUACACACCGCCCGUCGCUCCUACCGAUUGAGUGUUCCGGUGUGGCUUUGGGAGAAUGGCCUCAACAUGAGUUUAUCGUGUUUUGCCGUUUGAACUUAGUCAAACCUUAUCACUUAGAGGAAGGAGAAGUCGUAACA